rnacentral:rRNA from 1 species
AACGCGAAGAACCUUACCUGGGCUCGAAAUGUUAUGGACCGGAGUGGAAACAUUCCUUCCCCGCAAGGGGCCGUAAUAUAGGUGCUGCAUGGCUGUCGUCAGCUCGUGUCGUGAGAUGUUGGGUUAAGUCCCGCAACGAGCGCAACCCUUAUCUUCAGUUGCUACCAUUUAGUUGAGCACUCUGACGAAACCGCCUCGGAUAACGGGGAGGAAGGUGGGGAUGACGUCAAGUCCUCAUGGCCUUUAUGUCCAGGGCUACACACGUGCUACAAUGGCCGGUACAAACCGUCGCAAACCCGUGAGGGGGAGCUAAUCGGAAAAAGCCGGCCUCAGUUCGGAUCGUAGUCUGCAACUCGACUACGUGAAGCUGGAAUCGCUAGUAAUCGCGGAUCAGAAUGCCGCGGUGAAUACGUUCCCGGGCCUUGUA